rnacentral:rRNA from 1 species
UACGUAGGGGGCAAGCGUUGUUCGGAUUCAUUGGGCGUAAAGGGCGCGUAGGCUGCGGGGCAAGUCGGGUGUGAAAUCUCAGAGCUCAACUCUGAAACUGCACUCGAUACUGCUUUGCUUGAGGACUGGAGAGGAGAUUGGAAUUCACGGUGUAGCAGUGAAAUGCGUAGAUAUCAGUCGGAACACCGGUGGCGAAGGCGGCUUCUUGGGCCGUUACUGACGCUGAGGCGCGAAAGCCAGGGGAGCGAACGGG